UCAGGAAUAGUCGGCAAUGGGCGAAAGCCUGACCGCGCGACACCGCGUGUAGGAUGAAGGUCUAAUCGAUCGUAAACUACUGUGGUAAGGGAAGAAGACUUCCGUAAGGAAGUUUGACGGUACCUUACUAGAAAGGGGCCGCUAACUGCGUGCCAGAAGCGUCGGUAAUACGUGGGCCCCAAACAUUAUCCGGUUUUACUGGGUGUAAAAAGUCGUGUAGGUGUCCUAUCAAGUUUUGUUUCAAAUUCUACGGCCCAACCGUAGACAGGGGCAAAAUACUAGUAGGAUUGAGAUUUCUUUAGGGAGAUUGGAACUCAGGGAGGAGUAGUGAAAUGCGUUGAUACCCUGGGGAACACCAGUGGCGAAAGCGAAUCUCUGGAAGAUUUCUGACACUGAGACACG
rnacentral:rRNA from 1 species